CUGUGAGGCGUUGAGCUAACCAGUACUAAUUGCCCGUGAGGCUUGACCAUAUAAUCUAAG
rnacentral:rRNA from 1 species